rnacentral:rRNA from 1 species
GCGGCGGACGCCUGAGUAAUGUCUGGGAAACUGCCUGAUGGAGGGGGAUAACUACUGGAAACGGUAGCUAAUACCGCAUAACGUCGCAAGACCAAAGUGGGGGACCUUCGGGCCUCAUGCCAUCAGAUGUGCCCAGAUGGGAUUAGCUAGUAGGUGGGGUAAUGGCUCACCUAGGCGACGAUCCCUAGCUGGUCUGAGAGGAUGACCAGCCACACUGGAACUGAGACACGGUCCAGACUCCUACGGGAGGCAGCAGUGGGGAAUAUUGCACAAUGGGCGCAAGCCUGAUGCAGCCAUGCCGCGUGUAUGAAGAAGGCCUUCGGGUUGUAAAGUACUUUCAGCGAGGAGGAAGGCGUUAAGGUUAAUAACCUUGGCGAUUGACGUUACUCGCAGAAGAAGCACCGGCUAACUCCGUGCCAGCAGCCGCGGUAAUACGGAGGGUGCAAGCGUUAAUCGGAAUUACUGGGCGUAAAGCGCACGCAGGCGGUCUGUCAAGUCGGAUGUGAAAUCCCCGGGCUCAACCUGGGAACUGCAUUCGAAACUGGCAGGCUAGAGUCUUGUA